ACCCGGUGGAAAAUGGAACAUCCAAAAAAAUGAGUACAAGAUCAAAAAUAAGAAAAAUAGGUACAAACUUGUUACGAUUAAAAAUAUAAUCAAACUUAUAUACAAAUGAAGAUGGGUCAAAUCAAUAUGCCAUUAGGUGACUCUGCAUCUACGAAUAUCCAACUGCUAUGCACAAGAUCAACGUUGUCGCCUUGUACUGGAAUCUACAUCACGAAAAGGGACUGCUGCUCCUUUUAAUUGGUUUUAAGGAGGGCACUUGGGCGUUACCUAUAG
rnacentral:lncRNA from 1 species